ACGAGUAUGCUGAAAUUGGUAGUCAGGCCAAACUUAGGAUUUGGUGUUCUAUUGAAUGUAAGAGUUCAAGUCUCUUUACUCGUA
rnacentral:tRNA from 1 species